UUAUUUUUAUUUCAGCAGCACUAACUGGGCUUAUUUGGAAACCCUUAUUGCUGUCGGCUGUAGUAUGUUUAUCAAUUAUUUUGAUUGCAACAACUUUAAUCUACUGCUAUUGCCAAAAAUGGAAAUAUUUGAAGUAUUGUCAGCACACAACACAAGAAGAAGAAUCAAAUAUCGCCAUGAUUAGCCGAGUACCUGGUUCAGAAUGACAAUUGUGUUUUAUAAGCAAAACAUUCCCAACCUAACGUUAGCUUCAAUGUUUUAUGAUAGGCAUUGAACAAAAGUUUUGCCUCUACAACAUUUCUCGAUAACUACUCCGAUUCUAACAAAACUCUUGAACAGUCAUAUUGCAAAAAGUAAGCCUUGUGCAUCUUUCGCCCCUCUUUUACAUUUGUCUGCGAUAUAAUGCAUAAGCGUAGAUAUAUGUGAAAGAAACCGUUAGCCAAGAGAGUGUAUCGUAUCUUUUUGCGAAUAACGUUAUCCAUUGUGUUUCGUACUUACUAUUCUAGGUUAUGAUGAAUUUUCCAAAAUUACAUUUCUUUUCUUACUUAGACCCUAUAUAUCAGUGAGUUCUAAGACACACGUCUUUCUAUAGAAUGGUAUAUUAACACCACUCUUCGUUAUCAAAAGACUGUAACAUUGAAGGUUUUUGACGAAGAUCAUACAAAAUCGGACGAAUUUACAGUAUAAUUAAGAAAGAAUAAUGUAACAGUGACAAAAUAAAGUACAGUCGAAUUUUUUUAUAA